AUACGGAGGAUGCGAGCGUUAUCCGGAUUUAUUGGGUUUAAAGGGAGCGUAGGCGGGAGCUUAAGUCAGCGGUUAAAUGGUGCGGCUCAACCGUGCCCUGCCGUUGAAACUGGGUUUCUUGAGAGUGCAAGAGGCGGAUGGAAUUCAUGGUGUAGCGGUGAAAUGCUUAGAUAUCAUGAAGAACUCCGAUUGCGAAGGCAGUCCGCUGGGGCACGUCUGACGCUGAUGCUCGAAGGUGCGGGAAUCAAACAGGAUUAGAUGCCCUGGUAGUCCGCACGGUAAACGAUGAAUACCCGCUGUCGGCGGCAGACAGUCGGCGGCCAAGCGAAAGCGAGAAGUAAUCCACCUGGGGAGUACGCCGGCAACGGUGAAACUCAAAUGAAUUGACGGGG
rnacentral:rRNA from 1 species